AGUGAACGCUGGCGGUAGGCCUAACACAUGCAAGUCGAGCGGCAGCACAGUAAUAGCUUGCUCUUACUGGUGGCGACUGGCGGACGGGUGCGGAAUACAUCUGCAUCUUCUUUUUCAUAGGGGAUUACGCAGGCGAACUUACGCUAAAACCCCCUACGACCUACGGGUGGGAGCCGGGGAUCUUCGGACCUUACUUGACUGUAUGAGCCGCGGUCGUAUUAGCUAGUUGGGGGGGUAAAGACGCACCAAGGCGACGAUACGUAGCAGGUCUGAGAGGAGGAUCAGCCACACUGGAACUGAGACACGGCCCAGACUCCUACGGGAGGCAGCAGUGGGGAAUAGUGGACAAGGGGCGGAAGCCUGAUCCAGACAUGCCGCGUGGGUGAAGAAGGGCUUCGGGUAGUAAAGCCCUUUUGUUGGGAAAGAAGAGCAGCAAGUUAAUACCCUGCUGUUCUGACGGUACCCAAAGAAUAAGCACCGGCUAACUUCGUG
rnacentral:rRNA from 1 species